rnacentral:lncRNA from 1 species
AAAUCUCANAUUUCAUACUUUUACCGAAGAUCAAAUUUGUGAUAGUAGCAAAAAUUUUAUAUGCUAAAAAGAUUAGUUUAGUUUGCUACCUCACUUUUCUCUUUAUUGGCAAGUCACAAUUGGGCUAUGCCAUAAGAGCAUGAAAGAUAAAUUAUUCCAUACAACAUCAUCCCCAAUACUACAUUGAUUUAUAAUCCAAACUGCAAAGAUAAAGUUACAAUUUAAAACAACUUAAAACUAAUGAAAAAAUACCAGAAUAUAACUGUAUACAAAUGAAAUCUUCAGCACAAGAAUAUAAUUAUCAGGGAAAGCACUUUAGUGUUUGACUUUUAAGGCCUAAAAUAGAUCCAUUAACUCUGUNACUGCCUUUAGUGUGUCAGGAUCACAUCUUCUCACUCUCUCAUCAUGCUUCAAUCGAUUUGAUCACAAUAUGUUCCUUCUCAGAGUAAUUAAUCAAUAUUGGAAGAUGACAAUCAACUAAACCAUUAAAUUACUAGUAUACAGAAUUANAAUUUCCAGUAUAAUCUUAUAGACCUUAUACCUCUAUCAUAGUCUNACAAAUCAGAAGAUAUUGGAGGUCCACUUGAAUAGGUUGUAUAUGCUCAUGUAUAAUUUAUUUGAGACAGAAUAUGUGAAUUGAUUAAGGAAUUAAGGUCCCCCACAAACAAAAUACUCUUCCCUCUCAGUCUUCUCAACAAAUCUUCUCCAUUGAAUUUGUAUACACCAUCCACCAAAUUUCAUUCAACUCUGAGGUGGGUCCAUCACCUUAAUGAUCAUUGAAAUAGUAUUUAAUCUUGGAUGGUGUAUUCCAUUGUAACAUAAUAGGUGAAAGUCAUAUAUAUACUUGUAAAUUACAUAUAUGACAAUCUAAAUGUAGUAAGAACUGGAAAAUUACAUAAAGAACUUCGCCAAAAAUGUUCCUGAUCCAUUGACAAUUUUUAGAAACUAGAAAAAUGCAGGUAAACUGGCAACAUUGUUCAGAACAUCACAAUAUUUUUCUUUUAAAGAUCAGGAAUACUAUUUGCAGUUGACUAUAAAACAACAUCAGUGAACUCAAAUUUCUUACACAAAUAUAUCCAAAAAUAAAUAAAAAAAUCAAACAUUUGAUAAAUAAAACGUCAGGCAUUUGAUAAGUAAGGGGAAUAUAUCUGGAUAUUAGAUUAAAUUUAGUUUCAGUUUUUUCUUCAUUCUUCUUCAAAUAAAGGUUGAGAAUUUCUCAAAAAUCACAAAACAGGAACGAUAAAGAAAUUAUGAUGAUGAUAACAAACCUGGAUGAACUCAGGACACAUAAAAGACAAGUCUCCGACCAUAAAU